UGAGGAAUAUUGGGCAAUGGGGGCAACCCUGACCCAGCAAUGCCGCGUGCGGGAGGACGCCCUUCGGGGUGUAAACCGCUUUUGUGAGGGAGGAGCAAGGACCGUACCUCACGAAGAAGUCACGGCUAACUACGUGCCAGCAGCCGCGGUAAUACGUAGGUGGCGAACGUUAUCCGGAGUUACUGGGCGUAAAGGGUCCGCAGGCGGGGGCGCAAGUCUGACGUGAAAUCUUCUGGCUUAACUAGAAGAGGUCGUUGGAAACUGCGUCUCUAGCAUCCCGCAGAGGUCGGUGGAAUUCCCGGUGUAGUGGUGGAAUGCGUAGAGAUCGGGAGGAACCUCGAAAGCGAAGGCAGCCGGCUGGGCGCGGAUGGACGCUGAGGGACGAAAGCGUGGGGAGCGAACAGG
rnacentral:rRNA from 1 species